rnacentral:rRNA from 1 species
GACAGAGGGUGCAAACGUUGUUCGGAAUUACUGGGCGUAAAGCGUGUGUAGGCGGUCUGCAAAGUCGGAUGUGAAAGCCCCGGGCUCAACCUGGGAAGUGCACUCGAUACUGGCAGACUAGAGUAUCGGAGAGGUUGGUGGAAUUCUCGGUGGAGAGGUGAAAUUCGUAGAUAUCGAGGGGAACACCAGUGGCGAAGGCGGCCAACUGGACGAAUACUGACGCUGAGACACGAAAGCGUGGGGAGCAAACAGG